GAAAGCCAACUGAAAUCCUGGAAAACAAAUUUGAAUGGAGAAGAAAUAGCUCAAUGUUAUUGGAUUUUGUUCAGUCCUCAAUUCAAGCUUCUGUUUCAAAGUCCUGCCUUGGAGUCAGGUAAGUAACUUUCAGGUUUUCUAACAAGGUUUCCAGGAUUAAAGACAUCCACUAUGAACAGUUUUAAAAAG
rnacentral:lncRNA from 1 species